GAUGAAGAACGCAGCGAAAUGCGAUAAGUAAUGUGAAUAGCAGAAUUCAGUGAAUCAUCGAAUCUUUGAACGCACCUUGCGCCCUUUGGCUAUUCCGAAGGGCAUGCCUGUUUGAGUAUCAUGAACACCUCAACUCUCAUGGCUUGCCAUGAUGAGCUUGGACUUUUGGGGGUCUUGCUGGCCUGUGGUCAGCUCCUCUCAAAUGAAUUAGCCUGCCAGUGUUUGGUGGCAUCACAGGUGUGAUAACUAUCUACGCUUGUGGUUUUCCACCAGGUAACCUUCAGUGAUGAAGGUUCGCUGGGGCUCAUAAACGUCUCUCCUCAGUGAGGACAGCUCUUUGAACGUUUGAUCUCAAAUCAGGUAGGACUACCCGCUGAACUUAAGCAUAUCAAUAAGCGGAGGA
rnacentral:misc_RNA from 1 species